rnacentral:rRNA from 1 species
UACGGAGGGGGCUAGCGUUGUUCGGAAUUACUGGGCGUAAAGCGCACGUAGGCGGCUUUGUAAGUUAGAGGUGAAAGCCCGGGGCUCAACUCCGGAAUUGGCCUUUAAGACUGCAUCGCUAGAAUUGUGGAGAGGUAAGUGGAAUUCCGAGUGUAGAGGUGAAAUUCGUAGAUAUUCGGAAAGAACACCAGUGGCGAAGGCGACUUACUGGACACAUAUUGACGCUGAGGUGCGAAAGCGUGGGGAGCAAACAGG